CUACGGAGGGUGCAAGCGUUACUCGGAAUCACUGGGCGUAAAGCGCGCGCAGGCGGCUAUUUAAGUUGGAUGUGAAAGCCUACGGCUCAACCGUAGAACUGCAUCCAAAACUAUUUAGCUAGAGUGUGGGAGAGGAAGAUGGAAUUAGUUGUGUAGGGGUAAAAUCCGUAGAGAUAACUAGGAAUACCAAAAGCGAAGGCAAUCUUCUGGAACACUACUGACGCUGAGGCGCGAAAGCGUGGGGAGCAAACAGGAGUAGAAACCCUAGUAGUCC
rnacentral:rRNA from 1 species